GGACGGGGUGGCGGGGGCCUCGCGUCCCCAAUCAGGGUGACCUCACAAGGGGCGAGGCGCGGCCGGGGAGGGCGAGGUGCGGGCCGCUCCCACUGUGGCCCAUUGAGUUCCCAGGGAGGAGAGACGGGAGAAAAAUCCCCUCCGGGUCACCAUUCCCUGCCUCUCCUCCAGCCCUGUCCCUGUCCCCACAAGAGAAUUAGAACCACAACGUAAGAGGCUACAUUUCCUGACGCUGUGCGGUACGCUGCGCUUGGCGCCUUAUACACCUGUAGCUGUAGAGACUAACAGAGGUUUGAGAUGUGCACCUUUUCUUCCCGCCCCCUCUCACGACGGAUGGGACAACCCGGAAUCAGAAAAAAAUCGGUUCUUUGCCUGCCAAGUCCAGUUCCCGUGAGGAAGACAGGCCGGCCGGGAAGAAUCAGUGGGGCCAGACUGUCCAUUUCCUUUAAGGACUUUGGCCUAAAUUCCAAAGUCGGAAUUUCCCCAAAGAACAAGCCAGGCUUCAGAAUCUUCCAGGAUAUAGAUAACAACCACAGAACCAUCUGGCUCCACUUUUGUUAAGAGCGCUCCAAGUUCAAGUUCACUCCCUGCUUCACCCCUAAUUUCACCUACACCUUCCUCUAGUUAUGAGACCAAGAGCCUCCACCACUGUUACCUAUCUAUCCUCCACCACUCCCUCCAUUUCCAGGAGUUCCUGAACUUCCUAAGUGGCUCUUGUCUUUCU